rnacentral:rRNA from 1 species
GGUGAACGCUGGCGGCGUGCCUAAGACAUGCCAGUCGAGCGGGGCAGGUUUAUACCUGUUCAGCGGCGGACGGGUGAGUAACGCGUGGGUGACCUACCCGGAAGAGGCGGACAACCUGGGGAAACCCAGGCUAAUCCGCCAUGUGGUCCUGUCCUGUGGGGCAGGACUAAAGGGUGGAUAGCCCGCUUCCGGAUGGGCCCGCGUCCCAUCAGCUAGUUGGUGGGGUAAAGGCCCACCAAGGCGACGACGGGUAGCCGGUCUGAGAGGAUGGCCGGCCACAGGGGCACUGGGACACGGGCCCAGCUCCUACGGGGGGCAGCAGUUAGGAAUCUGCCGCAAUGGACGGAAGUCUGACGGAGCGACGCCGCUUGGAGGAGGAAGCCCUUCGGGGUGUAAACUCCUGAACUGGGGACGAAAGCCCUGUGUAGGGGGAUGACGGUACCCAGGUAAUAGCGCCGGCCAACUCCGUG